rnacentral:rRNA from 1 species
GGCCUAACACAUGCAAGUCGAGCGGUAGCACAGAGAGCUUGCUCUCGGGUGACGAGCGGCGGACGGGUGAGUAAUGUCUGGGAAACUGCCUGAUGGAGGGGGAUAACUACUGGAAACGGUAGCUAAUACCGCAUAACGUCGCAAGACCAAAGUGGGGGACCUUCGGGCCUCAUGCCAUCAGAUGUGCCCAGAUGGGAUUAGCUAGUAGGUGGGGUAAUGGCUCACCUAGGCGACGAUCCCUAGCUGGUCUGAGAGGAUGACCAGCCACACUGGAACUGAGACACGGUCCAGACUCCUACGGGAGGCAGCAGUGGGGAAUAUUGCACAAUGGGCGCAAGCCUGAUGCAGCCAUGCCGCGUGUAUGAAGAAGGCCUUCGGGUUGUAAAGUACUUUCAGCGAGGAGGAAGGCAUUAAGGUUAAUAACCUUAGUGAUUGACGUUACUCGCAGAAGAAGCACCGGCUAACUCCGUGCCAGCAGCCGCGGUAAUACGGAGGGUGCAAGCGUUAAUCGGAAUUACUGGGCGUAAAGCGCACGCAGGCGGUCUGUUAAGUCAGAUGUGAAAUCCCCGGGCUCAACCUGGGAACUGCAUUUGAAACUGGCAGGCUUGAGUCUU